rnacentral:rRNA from 1 species
GACGAACGCUGGCGGCGUGCUUAACACAUGCAAGUCGAACGGUGAAGGGACCAGCUUGCUGGUUCUGGAUGAGUGGCGAACGGGUGAGUAACACGUGAGUAACCUGCCCCCUUCUUCUGGAUAACCGCAUGAAAGUGUGGCUAAUACGGGAUAUUCUGGGUCUGUCGCAUGGCGGGCCCGGGAAAGAUAUUGCUUCGGUGGGGGAUGGGCUCGCGGCCUAUCAGCUUGUUGGUGGGGUGAUGGCCUACCAAGGCGGUGACGGGUAGCCGGCCUGAGAGGGGGGACGGUCACACUGGGACUGAGACACGGCCCAGACUCCUACGGGAGGCAGCAGUGGGGAAUAUUGCACAAUGGGCGCAAGCCUGAUGCAGCGACGCCGCGUGAGGGAGGGAGGCCUUCGGGGUGUAAACCUCUUUCGCCAGUGAAGCAGGCCUGCUCCUUGUGGGUGGGUUGACGGUAGCUGGAUAAGAAGCGCCGGCUAACUACGUG